UGAGGAAUAUUGGUCAAUGGGCGCAAGCCUGAACCAGCCAAGUCGCGUGAGGGAAGACGGUCCUAUGGAUUGUAAACCUCUUUUGUCAGGGAGCAAGCGGGCCUCGUGAGGCCUUGCGGAGAGUACCUGAAGAAAAAGCAUCGGCUAACUCCGUGCCAGCAGCCGCGGUAAUACGGAGGAUGCGAGCGUUAUCCGGAUUUAUUGGGUUUAAAGGGUGCGUAGGCGGACUGUUAAGUCAGUGGUCAAAUCAAGAGGCUCAACCUCUUCCCGCCAUUGAAACUGGCAGCCUUGAGUGAGCGAGAAGUACGCGGAAUGCGUGGUGUAGCGGUGAAAUGCAUAGAUAUCACGCAGAACUCCGAUUGCGAAGGCAGCGUACCGGCGCUCAACUGACGCUGAAGCACGAAAGCGUGGGGAUCGAACAGG
rnacentral:rRNA from 1 species